rnacentral:misc_RNA from 1 species
GUGAAUCAUCGAAUUUUUGAACGCAAAUUGCACUCUCCUCGGAGAGUAUGACUGUUCGAGGGUCAGCCUAUAAAAAAUCGACAUCGUUGCUGUUUCGCGGUGGCGUUCGUCGGAAAUUGGGUCAUCUUAAAUCUUUUGGUUUUAAGAGACUUAAAAUUUUCUUUUUGGUUUCAUGAACGUUUCUAAGAUUUAUUUCUUUACACGUUUAUGGUAUCGAUUUUUAUUAGAAGUGAUAAUCAUAUCGGAUCGCGCCUAUAAUAUUUGAUUAAAUGAC